rnacentral:rRNA from 1 species
GAUGAACGCUGGCGGCGUGCCUAAUACAUGCAAGUCGAGCGAACAGACGAGGAGCUUGCUCCUCUGACGUUAGCGGCGGACGGGUGAGUAACACGUGGAUAACCUACCUAUAAGACUGGGAUAACUUCGGGAAACCGGAGCUAAUACCGGAUAAUAUAUUGAACCGCAUGGUUCAAUAGUGAAAGACGGUUUUGCUGUCACUUAUAGAUGGAUCCGCGCCGCAUUAGCUAGUUGGUAAGGUAACGGCUUACCAAGGCGACGAUGCGUAGCCGACCUGAGAGGGUGAUCGGCCACACGGGAACUGAGACACGGUCCAGACUACUACGGGAGGCAGCAGUAGGGAAUCUUCCGCAAAGGGCGAAAACCUGACGGAGCAACGCCGCGUGAGAGAUGAAGGUCUUCGGAUCGUAAAACUCUGUUAUUAGGGAAGAACAAAUGUGUAAGUAACUAUGCACGUCUUGACGGUACCUAAUCAGAAAGCCACGGCUAACUACGUG